rnacentral:rRNA from 1 species
UCUGACGGAGCAACGCCGCGUGAGUGAUGAAGGUUUUCGGAUCGUAAAACUCUGUUGUUAGGGAAGAACAAGUACCGUUCGAAUAGGGCGGUACCUUGACGGUACCUAACCAGAAAGCCACGGCUAACUACGUGCCAGCAGCCGCGGUAAUACGUAGGUGGCAAGCGUUGUCCGGAAUUAUUGGGCGUAAAGCGCGCGCAGGCGGUUUCUUAAGUCUGAUGUGAAAGCCCCCGGCUCAACCGGGGAGGGUCAUUGGAAACUGGGGAACUUGAGUGCAGAAGAGGAGAGUGGAAUUCCACGUGUAGCGGUGAAAUGCGUAGAGAUGUGGAGGAACACCAGUGGCGAAGGCGACUCUCUGGUCUGUAACUGACGCUGAGGCGCGAAAGCGUGGGGAGCGAACAGGAUUAGAUACCCUGGUAGUCCACGCCGUAAACGAUGAGUGCUAAGUGUUAGAGGGUUUCCGCCCUUUAGUGCUGCAGCAAACGCAUUAAGCACUCCGCCUGGGGAGUACGGUCGCAAGACUGAAACUCAAAG